UUUGUUCUCAGCUCAGUUGGUUAGAGCGUGGUGCUAAUAAUGCCAAGGUCACGGGUUCAAUCCGUGAUUGAAC
rnacentral:tRNA from 1 species